AGAACGAACGCUGGCGGCAGGCUUAACACAUGCAAGUCGAACGCUCGUAGCAAUACGGGAGUGGCAGACGGGUGAGUAACGCGUGGGAACAUACCCUCCGGUUCGGAAUAGCUCAGGGAAACUUGGAUUAAUACCGGAUACGGCUGAGAGGCGAAAGAUUUAUCGCCGGAGGAUUGGCCCGCGUUCGAUUAGCUAGUUGGUGAAGUAACGGCUCACCAAGGCGAUGAUCGAUAGCUGGUCUGAGAGGAUGAUCAGCCACAUUGGGACUGAGACACGGCCCAAACUCCUACGGGAGGCAGCAGUGGGGAAUAUUGGACAAUGGGCGCAAGCCUGAUCCAGCCAUGCCGCGUGAGUGAUGACGGCCUUAGGGUUGUAAAGCUCUUUCGCUCGGGACGAUAAUGACGGUACCGAGAUAAGAGCCCCGGCUAACUCGCGCCAGCAGCCGC
rnacentral:rRNA from 1 species